UACGGAGGGGGCUAGCGUUGUUCGGAAUUACUGGGCGUAAAGCGUGCGCAGGCGGCUUUGCAAGUCAGAUGUGAAAUCCCCGGGCUCAACCUGGGAACUGCAUUUGUGACUGCAUGGCUAGAGUACGGUAGAGGGGGAUGGAAUUCCGCGUGUAGCAGUGAAAUGCGUAGAUAUGCGGAGGAACACCGAUGGCGAAGGCAAUCCCCUGGACCUGUACUGACGCUCAUGCACGAAAGCGUGGGGAGCAAACAGG
rnacentral:rRNA from 1 species